CAAGUCGAACGGUGACGAUCAAGCUUGCUUGGUCUGAUCAGUGGCGAACGGGUGAGUAACACGUGAGUAACCUGCCCCAGACUCUGGGAUAACCCCGGGAAACCGGAGCUAAUACCGGAUACGACACCAAUCCGCAUGGGUAUGGUGUGGAAAGUUUUUCGGUCUGGGAUGGACUCGCGGCCUAUCAGCUUGUUGGUGAGGUAGUGGCUCACCAAGGCGACGACGGGUAGCCGGCCUGAGAGGGCGACCGGCCACACUGGGACUGAGACACGGCCCAGACUCCUACGGGAGGCAGCAGUGGGGAAUAUUGCACAAUGGGCGAAAGCCUGAUGCAGCGACGCCGCGUGAGGGAUGACGGCCUUCGGGUUGUAAACCUCUUUCAGCAGGGAAGAAGCGAAAGUGACGGUACCUGCAGAAGAAGCACCGGCUAACUACGUGCCAGCAGCCGCGGUAAUACGUAGGGUGCGAGCGUUGUCCGGAAUUAUUGGGCGUAAAGAGCUUGUAGGUGGUUUGUCGCGUCUGCUGUGAAAAUCCGGGGCUCAACCCCGGACUUGCAGUGGGUACGGGCAGACUAGAGUGUGGUAGGGGAGACUGGAAUUCCUGGUGUAGCGGUGGAAUGCGCAGAUAUCAGGAGGAACACCGAUGGCGAAGGCAGGUCUCUGGGCCAUUACUGACACUGAGAAGCGAAAGCAUGGGGAGCGA
rnacentral:rRNA from 1 species